rnacentral:tRNA from 1 species
GGUGGCUCAGUGAUAGAGCACUUGCCUUGCAUGCAUGAGGCCCUGGGUUUGAUUCCCCAGCACCA